AUCCUUUCAGAGCUUCUGUUCUCUUUGCAGAGAGGAUUGCUGAUAAGGGAGAAGCACACAUUUAGGAGACUUGAUCUUAUAAUAACAUUGGAAAGAUGGUCAGAGUGAACAGGAUAAAUGUGGUAAUAAGCACAUAGUCAGUAUAAGAGAAGGUAGAACCACAAGAGAGUCAACUAGAAAGCCAGCCGUGCCAUCUCCCAUGGCUGCGCCACUCUCCAGGCUGACUUCAGGCCACUGCUCUUAGCUCAGGGUUUGGGCAAAUUUGCUGUUCUUCACACAUCCUGCAUCUCUCCUAACAGAGGUUUUAAUCUAUGGAGACACUUUGGAAGCCUCAAGCAUUCGGGUACUCAGGCCCGGCUGUUGCUUGUUUCUACAUCUUCCUCGGAAGAACAGAUUCCAGACUUGGGUUAUGCAUGAGAGAGAGGAACACAAACCAAAAACUAGAAAAAGCCCAACCUUCUCCUGUGAGGAAGAAUUAACCAUUGUGUCCAUCCCUGACGCUGCAUCCCUCGCUCCCAGCCUCCUCUUAGAUCUCCUAUCCUUGGAGAUUGUAACCCACAUUGUUAAUCCAUUCUGCCUGAACUUGGACAACUGUUUCUUAUAUAUUAAUAAAACAUGUAGCGUUAGGUAUACGGUCUGACAUAUGCACUAUGGUCAUGAAACUUUUCAAUGACUUUGUUGAUAUUUGAACUAAAGAAUUAUGCAAGACGUCAUUAACUUCUAAUUUCUACUCAAGCUUGUUACUUGACUAACAACAUCUCAUAUUAUGUCACGUGACUUUUCCAUUGUUCAUUAUAAUCAGGUUUUUAGCGUUUGCAGCCAUGAUUCUUUGAGUGGCAGUCCAUACAACACCAUUCAAAUUCUUCACCAGAAAUGAAUUGUUAUAUCCUCUCUUCAGUGUCUUUUAUUGUGAUACAUCCCAGUAAUUUUUUUUUUUUUUUUUUCUGCUGAGGAAGAUUAAGCCUGAGCUAACAUCUGUUGCCAAUCUUAAUCUUUUUAUGUUGAGGAAGAUUAAGCCUGAACUAUCAUCUGUUGCCAAUCUUAAUCUUUUUUUGCUGAGGAAGAUUAGCCCUGAGCUAACAUUUCUGCCAGUCUUACUCUAUUUUAUAUGUGGGUCACUGUCACAGUGUGGCUAAUGAAUGGUGUAGGUUCACACGCAGGAUCUGAACCCAUGAAUCUGGGUCACUGAAGUGGAACAUGCCGAACCCAACCACUAGGCCAUGGGGCCAGCCCCCAACAUCCCAGUAAUUUUUAACUUUAAAUUAUUUUUUCAAUUUUUGGAAUAUCAAGAUGGUGGUGUAGGCAGACUCUGAACUCACUCCUCCCAUAGACACAACAAAUUUACAACUACUCUUGGAACAAUUACCACUGAGAGAGAACUGAAAACUGGAUAAAAAUAACUCCCACAACAAAGGACAGUGCUGACUGAAGAGGAAGAGGCAGAAAUUCCUUCCUGGAAAGAAAAAGGCCACCUUUGAGCUGUGGCACCUUGUGGCUGGCCAGAAGCAAUCUUAAGGUAUGCAGCCUUCCCUGGAAGAGUGGGGAUCUGAGCGGGGGAGCAUUACUUACUAUAAGCAGCUUUUGGACUCAGCACAACUGAGAUGAGGGUCAUAAUAUCUGGCUUUGCUGGCUAUUAAUAACAAUGGGGAAUACACCCAGAAAGGCUAUCAGACAUAAGGGAAAAAAGCCUGCUCUUAAAGGGCCCAUGAACAAAUUCACCUGUUUCAGAAAACAAGCUAAAAUCACCAGAAAGAAAGGUGCACAGUUCUUUGGUGAAAAGAGACUCACUUGAUACUCUCUGGGUGCAUCUUGCUCAGAGGUGUGACCUCUCCAGGGACUGAGACAUUGGCAGCAGCCAUUAUUGUGACCUAGUACAGGGGUGCUGACAGAGAUGCUGGCAGAUGCUAUUGGAAUUCUUCCCCUGGCCUGAUAGCCCAGGGGUCUGCCACACCCACUAGAGUACCAAUUUGAUCUAGCUCAGCCAGGGCAGGCAGCUCACCCUAGGGACUGGCUCCACCCAACAGCAAGCCCUCAGGCAACUUGUGCUCCUGCAUAGGUGGGGUGUCUGGAAACUGCAGCCAGGUGAGUUGGCCCACUUCUAUGGGGCAGGGCAUGCACAGAGGGUGGGCCUGCUGUGGUGGAGUGUGUCGGGUCUCUGGAGUGGGGUGACUGAGUGCACUUCAGUGGGUUGGGUUGCACACAUUGGGCAGGACUGUGUUGACAGAAUGUGUGGCCCUGGAGGUGGUGGGGCUUAUCAGCUGCAGCAGACUUGUGCUUCUCAAACAGCUACACAGGGGAUUUGCCCCAUCUUCCAAAGCCUGAAACAACAGUGUGCUCCCAUGCCUGGGGCCAGCCUCACUCAGCUGCACCACUGAGAGAGCUGACAACAGCCUUGCAGGCUGGAGGCCUACAGCAAUUGUAAGCCCCUGAGCUUAGCAACCAGCCAUGCUGGGGGCUUACUCCCUUAACAGAAAACCUGCAGCAGAAAUGUGCUAUUAGACCCUGCAGUCAACUGUGCUGGGGCUCCCUAUGCCCGAUAAAGUGACUGAUGGGACCAUAGCAGCCACACACAGCUGAGCAUUACAACCAGCUGGCCAGGGGGGCAGCCUAGGCUGCCCAGGCACCUGCAGCAAGUGCAACCCAGCCACAACAGAAUGACACAACAGGGGACACUCCUGGAACAUGUAGAACUGGUGACAAGAGGGAAGCACAGUGCUAGGCCUCGUAAGGCAUCUCUUACAUAAGGCCACUUCUCCAAGAUUGAGAGACAUAGCUGAUCUUCCUAAUACACAGAUAUAAGCACAGAGAAAGAGGCAAAAUGAGGAGACAAAGGAAUACGUUCCAAAUAAGCAAAUAGUACAAAAACCCAGAAAAAGAACUAAGCAAAACAGAGAUAUACAAUCCACCUGACAAAGACUACAAACUUAGAGUCUUAAGGAUGCUCACUGAUCUUGGGAGGAGAAUGGAUGAAGUCAGUGAGAACUUCAAUAAAGAAUUGGAAAA
rnacentral:lncRNA from 1 species